GAUGAACGCUGGCGGCGUGCCUAAUACAUGCAAGUCGAGCGAACAGACGAGGAGCUUGCUCCUCUGACGUUAGCGGCGGACGGGUGAGUAACACGUGGAUAACCUACCUAUAAGACUGGGAUAACUUCGGGAAACCGGAGCUAAUACCGGAUAAUAUAUUGAACCGCAUGGUUCAAUAGUGAAAGACGGUUUUGCUGUCACUUAUAGAUGGAUCCGCGCCGCAUUAGCUAGUUGGUAAGGUAACGGCUUACCAAGGCGACGAUGCGUAGCCGACCUGAGAGGGUGAUCGGCCACACGGGAACGGAGACACGGUCCAGACUCCUAGGGGAGGCAGCAGGAGGGAAUCUUCCGCAAUGGGCGAAAGCCUGACGGAGCAACGCCGCGGGGGUGAUGAAGGUCUUCGGAUCGUAAAACUCUGUUAUUGGGGAAGAAAAAAUGUGUAAGUAACUAUGCCCGUCUUGACGGUACCAAAUCAGAAAGCCACGGCUAACUACGU
rnacentral:rRNA from 1 species